GGAGAGGUGGCUGAGUGGCCGAUAGCGCCGGCUUGCUAAGCCGGUGUACUGGUUUUUCCGGUACCGAGGGUUCGAAUCCCUCCCUCUCCGCCA
rnacentral:tRNA from 1 species